GACAGAGGAUGCAAGCGUUAUCCGGAAUGAUUGGGCGUAAAGCGUCUGUAGGUGGCUUUUUAAGUCCGCCGUCAAAUCCCAGGGCUCAACCCUGGACAGGCGGUGGAAACUACCAAGCUGGAGUACGGUAGGGGCAGAGGGAAUUUCCAGUGGAGCGGUGAAAUGCGUAGAGAUUGGAAAGAACACCGAUGGCGAAGGCACUUUACUGGGCUAUUACUAACACUCAGAGACGAAAAGCUAGGGGAGCAAAUGGG
rnacentral:rRNA from 1 species